UGUCCGUCCGACGGGUGACGAGGGUGACCCCAGACGAGGCGGCUUAAUUGGGAUGGGAACUGACUGGUGAGGCUUAAUCGUCGACCAAUGGGUCGAAUCUGCAUAAGGAAGGCAACCAGCACACACUCGCAGGCGGGUCGUGGAAACAUCUUUUUGUUUUUUCUCUUGGUCUGCCCCGCGUCGAAUUUUGAAGGCAGAAAAUGUCGGUAGGAGGCGAGCAUAUCCAGGCCUAACUUAAACCUGUUAAAAGACAACCCGGGUUCGCAGCGCGAUUUUAAAAAACAAGAUUGAAGAAGUCAGAAAUUUUAUCUACAUGCUGCAUAUGAUCAGUCCCAAAAAAUUUCGGAUUGUUCCAGGUACCGUCGAAUACCUGGACAACGUGUUUAUUGUCAACUCUACAGGAUCGACCGAGGUCCAUGGAGUUGGGGGCAUUCGAUGUGCCCCAUAGCAGUGAGACGCCACUGUUUUUUUCGCCGUAUAAUUAUUAUGGUGGGACUGAAAAUGAACUUAAGCAAGAUAUGAUGGUGAUACAGUAUGGCUUGGAGAACUUCAAAAGUCGGUUCGCGUCGUGGUUCCAAAGCAGUAACUUUAGGUUCCCUACAUUUACAGAAUGUUGCAUUAAGUACUCAUUUUUUAAUUUGCAAUUUUUAUAUUUCAUUUUUACUUUUUUUCUUACUCUAUACAAGGCUUUAAUAUAAAGUUUUUUUAGCAAU